ACUCAUACCUUGAAGGAAAUAACAUGUCAUAAAAGUGGUUUUCCCAGGGAGAGGCUAAUCCAUUGCACUUUGGGUGUGUUGCUGAUCCCAGUGAUUUCCCCAAAUGUUGGGAACUCAACUGCAUAGUUUGUGUUAAUGAGGGACUGCCCUUGUGAUUUCCCUGG
rnacentral:snRNA from 1 species